rnacentral:rRNA from 1 species
AGGGUUUGAUUAUGGCUCAGAUUGAACGCUGGCGGCAUGCUUUACACAUGCAAGUCGAACGGCAGCAUGGGGGCAACCCUGAUGGCGAGUGGCGAACGGGUGAGUAAUAUAUCGGAACGUACCCGAGAGUGGGGGACAACCAGUCGAAAGAUUGGCUAAUACCGCAUACGAUCUACGGAUGAAAGUGGGGGACCUUCGGGCCUCACGCUCCUGGAGCGGCCGAUAGCUGAUUAGCUAGUUGGUGGGGUAAAGGCCUACCAAGGCGAUGAUCAGUAGCUGGUCUGAGAGGACGAUCAGCCACACUGGGACUGAGACACGGCCCAG